rnacentral:rRNA from 1 species
UACGUAGGGUGCAAGCGUUGUCCGGAAUUAUUGGGCGUAAAGAGCUCGUAGGCGGUCUGUCGCGUCUGCUGUGAAAACUCAGGGCUUAACCCUGAGCUUGCAGUGGGUACGGGCAGACUAGAGUGCGGUAGGGGAGACUGGAAUUCCUGGUGUAGCGGUGAAAUGCGCAGAUAUCAGGAGGAACACCAGCGGCGAAGGCGCUGCUCUGGGCCGGUACUGACGCUGAGGAGCGAAAGCGUGGGGAGCGAACAGG